UGUUAAGCAAAGCCGAGAUCCAGUGCAAUACCUGGACUGUCACCGUCCUGUGAGUGGUGUACACAAUGGGAAGAUAAUAAGCCGUGGUGUUUUGCUGUCUGUCUGUGUCACAAGCAUGAAAACCCGUGUGUCAUUGAUCAGCACCAUUUGUGGUAUGUUCCGUGAUGAGCGUUUAGUGAGCCUGCUGGCUGCAGAGCACUAUGAAAUCAUGCGCCCCGCACCAUAGCACCUGCCCACCUGAGAACCAGGAACGCACCCUCUCUGUGGAGCUCUGACUGGUGUAGCUGGAAACAAACAGCAACUUGCAAACGGACGAAGAGCCUGCCGUGUGUUAAUCAUUUGCCUUACAAGAUGUACCAGACGGUUUCCAGUACUAACAAAGGGAAUAAAAAUACCUCACGCCACAAUCCAGCAUAUUGAUGUUUUAAGGCAAAACAAC
rnacentral:lncRNA from 1 species